GCAAGCCUUUUCUCCAUGUUCUUUACUGUAUUCAAUGUAGAUUGUAACUCAUUGAACUGAAGCUGCCAUCUGGUGACCAGGAGGAAAAGGCCAAGAGAACUUCAGUGAUGGAGACCGAGAGUCCUGUCCUUUUGAGUUUCUUCUUAUUGCUUGCAAGAACACACAGCUCUCGGAACGCAGAAACAGACUCCUGAGAACCAACAGAAGGAUGCCUCGUGUCCAUGAACGCUGCCUCGAAGCCUAGAAAGUCAGCCAGCCUUUGACCCUGAGCCCACAAAUGUAUAAAAUUGUGGGCGCUGGCGUGACCCACCCCAAUUACAGAUCUGCCUUGCAGCGUUCCCGUCUGACUUUUGAUGAAUGAAGAAAGCCCUGGAACUGCCCGGCGUGUCUUUGAUGGCUCAGGUAGAAUGCCGAUUUAUUUCAGGUACAUUCCAGCAGAACAGGUGCGGACAGCUGCUAGCAGCUUCGUCUCUGCGUGCGGCCGUUCUGCCCGGCUUUUCAUCUUGCCGCUGCCUUUCUCCUGCCUUUGGGACCCUGGACGAGUAGCCUGAGCUCUGUGCCUCAGUUUCCUCAUCUAUGAAAUGGGAGAUGGUGACAGUCCCUAUUUCCUGGGGCCAUUGCAGAACUCAUUAGGUACCUGGGGCUGCUGCAACGAUUUGCCUUAAACUGGAUGGCUUACAACAACAAAUUUUUUCACCAUUCUGGAGGCCAGAAAUCCAAGACCAAAAUCGGCAGGGUCGUGCUCCUUUCGAAGGCUCUAGAAGAGAAACCUUCUUCGCCUCUUCCAGCCCCUGGUGGCUGCAGGCGUGCCCUGGCUCGUGGUUGCAUCAGUCCCAAGGACUCUCGGCAUUGCACGUAGGGCCCACCUGGAUAAUCCAGCAAGAUCUUGAGAUCCUUAAUUGCAUCUGCAAAGUCGUGUUUUCCAAACUCGGUCGUAUUCACGGGUUCCAGGGACUGGGGUGUGGACACGUCUUUUGGGGGCCACGGCUUACCCCACUACAGCCCAGAAUGGAUGUGUGUAAAGUGCUCAGCACGGCACCAGGAGCCCCGUAAGCGCUCAGUUGACAGGGACGAUUACUGUUAUGCACCCAGAGGUUGUGUCUGGGGUUGAACUGUGGAGACUUGUCCAACACAAGAAAGCAAGCCAGAUGCAGAAAGACGGGUCACCCUUUCCCUGCAGGCCUCUAGGGCUGGCGGCCCGACUUGCCACGCUGCAUUUUCUAACCUGACCAAACUUGUCUGGGCCUUGGAUUCCCCGGAUUCUCUCUGUUCUAAACAAGCUUUUUGCAGAAACCACCAACUGUCGCCAAGUCUGUAGUUUUAUUCACUAAAAUCAGUCUUGAGGUGACCGUGGGCCGGAGGAGAGCAGGUUACGAAAGAGACCACCGGGCAGGAGAAAUGGCCAGCAAAGAAGCGACCCACUUGAUGGGUCACCAUCUUGUUUGGUCUCAGGCCAGAGCCAGCUUGGCCUCAUCAGGAAAAAUUGCUGAACUAUAUUAAAGGAGAUUUAAAUACAUGGGAAGAAAAUAGAUCGGAAGACUUGGUAUUACACGAUGGCAAUGAUCCCAAGGGACCUACAGAUCCUAUAGGAUCUCUAUCAACAUCCCAGCUGCCUUUCUGGCAGAAAUGCAAGAACUUAUCUGGAAAUUCGUACGGAAUUGCAAGGGCCCCCAAAUAGUCAAUUUUGGAAAAGCACAGAGUCAGAGGACGCUUACCUCUUGAUUGCAAAACUUACGACAAAGCUACAAUAACACAAGCGGUGUGGUACUGCCAUUAGGAUGGGCAUAGAGAUCAAUGGAAUAGAAGUGAGAACUAGAAACAAACUAACCCCAUAAGGUAAACUGACUUAUGCAAGGAAAAUGCCAAGAUGAUUCAACGGGGGGAAAGAAUAAUCUCUUCAACAGAUGGUGUUAGGACAACUGAUACCCAUGUGUGAGACAGUGGAGCUGCACUCUCAUUUCCCACCACAUACAGAAAUGGGCUCAAAAUAGAUCAAACCCAACAGCGACAGCUGACACUGUAAAAACUCUUGGAAGAAAACACAGGAGUAAGUCUUUAUGACUUUUGACUUUGCAAUGGUUUCUUAGACAUGAUAGCAAGAGCAUAAGCAAAAAAGAGCCCAAGAAAGAGAUUAGCUGGACCUUGUCAAAAUUGAAACCUUUUGUGCAUCAAAGGACGCUGUCAAGGGAGCGCAACUUGUUACAGAAUGGGAAACUUGUGACAAAUCCCGACAAGAGGGUCUAGCGCCCAAAAUAUGUUAAGAACGCUUACAAC